GAUGAAGAACGUAUCGAAAUGCGUUAAGUAAUGUGAAUUGCAGAAUUCAGUGAAUCAUCGAAUCUUUGAACGCACAUUGCGCCCGCUAGUAUUCUGGCGGGCAUGCCUGUCCGAGCGUCAUUUCAACCCUCAAGCCCCCGGGCUUGGUGUUGGGGAUCGGCGAGCCUCCGCGCCCGCCGUCCCCUAAAUCUAGUGGCGGUCUCGCUGUAGCUUCCUCUGCGUAGUAGCACACCUCGCACUGGGAAACAGCGCGGCCACGCCGUUAAACCCCCAACUUCUGAACGUUUGACCUCGGAUCAGGUAGGAAUACCCGCUGAACUUAAGCAUAUCAAUAAGCGGAGGA
rnacentral:misc_RNA from 1 species